rnacentral:rRNA from 1 species
AUUGAACGCUGGCGGCAUGCCUAACACAUGCAAGUCGCACGCGAAAGGGGGCAACCCCGAGUAGAGUGGCGGACGGGUGCGUAAUACGUAGGAAUCUACCUGAUAGUGGGGGACAACCCGGCGAAAGCCGGGCUAAUACCGCAUACGACCUAUGGGUGAAAGCCGGGGACCGCAAGGCCUGCGCUAUUAGAUGAGCCUGCGUCGGAUUAGCUAGUUGGUGAGGUAAAGCACCAAGGCGACGAUCCGUAGCUGGUCUGAGAGGACGACCAGCCACACUGGGACUGAGACACGGCCCAGACUCC